AAAUAUUUUCCUGUCAGCAGAGAAAGCAGUUGAGUUUUAGACUGAGCUCCUUCUUCUGAGCAUCUGAAGUUUUUCUAGCAAGGAAAAAAAUGGACAAUCAACUUAGCAAAGCUGAGCAGUUGGAAAAAUGUAAAAAAUCCUUCGAACAAUUAAGAGCAGAGUUACAAGCCCAAGAAAUGAGUGACUUUGUUUGGCUUUUCGUAUUUUUUAUUUUAGUCGCUUUGAUUUUUGGAUUGGUGCAAGCAAUUUGGGAUGUAAGGAAGAAGCCUAAAAGUAUUAAAGAUACUACUAAAACAUUGUAGGAAGAAGAGAAGCUGUAACAUUGGUGUGGAGGCGGCCAUCUUAGUUCAUUUUGAUCCUGAGUUUUGAGAAGGAGCCAGCUCUUCGGGAUGGAACUGCUUCGAUACAGCUUUUAUUUCUCCUCUUCCCAUUUUCUUUUUUUUUUUCAAAUUUGUUUUUAUUGAGUUUUAACAGUUCCACAUACAAACAAACAAAAAGAAAAACGAAAAUAAAAAAACAGAUACAGAUGCACACAGUUGUAUACAACAGUCAGCAUAGAAAUUCAGGUGUUUUGUAUCGUCAAUGCGCCAUCCUGUUACCAAGACAGUAAACAUGAAUCAUUGAUAACCAACAUCAUGACUGUCCCCAUGAUAUACUAUUGCAAGAAGCUGUGUGCAUAGCUACUGUAAACAAUAAAGACACAAUUUUC